UUUUGUUUUAUGGCCAAGAAGGUCUGACAUUUUGAUGAAGGAGAUAGAAACUGCAUGGACAUGUGAAGGUGAAAGGCUAAGCUGGCUUUUUAUUAAUUGAAAUUUUACUUGUUUUAUAGUGAGAACUCCUGACCCACCAGAUGAAGAGUGUUUUAAAUGUGAAUGUAGCUGUUUUAGUCGUCCAGGCAGACGCACUCCCGCUGUCCGUGACGCUGUUGUGGGUGCCCCGCGUGAGGCUGCUGCACUCUCGCGAUACCUGGCUGCUGAUUCCCCCACCCCACCCCCACCAGCAGAGCCGCGGCCGUUACUACCCGCUGGCCGGGGUGCUGUGAGGGUCCCAACGCUGCUGGCUCGCUCGCCCUGAGCGGAGGACUAGGGGGCAUGUUCCGGGCAGCUGCCUCAACCACUUGUCUCAUGGAUCAUCCCCGUUUCUCCCCUGCUUGGCAUUGGCUGCCAGCUGACGCUUUUCCUUGGUGGAAUGGAAACAUGCCUUUGGACGAGCUGAGGAGACCGAGACCCAACUUGUAUGCAGGUGUGCGUGCCUGGCUGACAUCCUCCCGGGGGCACUUGCUGGCCCGAGGCCCCGCGACUCCCAGUGCUGUGCUGCUCCAGGAGCUGUGUUCAGCUCAUCACCCUCACACAUCUCUCUUCUGAGCUUUCUGGAGUCUUGUCCUCACAUGCACAGCCUGGUAUUCAGUUUAUGACUGCUGGAGAUGCCUGGAACUUUAUGGAGGUCCUUCUCUGCAUAGCUUCCUCUUCUCCAGUACUGUGUGUCCUGCAAACCCAAGUCCCCUCAGCAGCCCUGAUGUCUAAUCUCUCUUCUUAGGUCAGCAAGACCCCCAAGGUCUGCUUGGGCUGCACCCCACUUGCAUUGCAGUGUGGACAGUGACUCCAGGCAGAAAGCCAGGGCUAUUAUGGGGCCUGCUUUGGAAUUCUUCUUCUCCCAGGGACUAUAACCCAGUGCUGCCUGUUGUCCAAUAUCUGAAUAUAUUUGUGUAAUAUUUUCUUCCAGUUUUGCAAUUGUUUAUGUCAGUAUGUCAGUGCUAAUUCAAUAUGAGUUACUCUAUCAUGACCAGCAGUGAACACUGAGUAAUUCGAUGGUGUGUUCAGUCACUCAAUCGUGUCCGAAUUUUUGCGACCCCAUGAACUACAGCACGCCAGGCCUCCCUGUCCAUCACCAACUCCAGGAGCUUUCUCAAGCUCAUGUCCAUCGAGUCGGUGAUACCAUCCAACAGUCUCAUCCUCUGUCGUCCCCUUCUCCUUCUGGAACUUCAUGGAGCUCCUCCUCUGCAUAGCUCCCUCUUCUCCAAUACCCUGUCCUGCAAACCCAAGUCUUUGUGCGUAGAGGAAAACAAUAGAAUCGGAAAGACUAGAGAUGGGACGUUAGAAGGUAAUAAAUGUUAUGAAAGAAAUAAUAGAAGCACCCCUGGAAGUCCAGUUAAGAUUCCAUGCUUCCAGUACAGAGGUAGUGGAUUUAAUUCCCAGUCAGGGAACUGAGAUCACACAUGCCUUUUGGUUUGAUCAAAAGAGGGGAAAAAUAGAAUAAAAUGAGCAUUAAAUAAAUAAAUAAAUAGAACACAGUAAGGAGGAUGGAUAACAUUGGGUGAGGGAGGCACAGAGUUGAG